rnacentral:rRNA from 1 species
GAUGAACGCUGGCGGCGUGCCUAAUACAUGCAAGUCGAGCGAACAGACGAGGAGCUUGCUCCGCUGACGUUAGCGGAGGACGGGUGAGUAACACGUGUAUCACCUACCUAUAAGACUGGGAUAACUUCGGGAAACCGGCGCUAAUACCGGAUGAUAUACUGAACCACAGGGGUCAAUGGUGAAAGACGGUUUUGGUGUCAGGUCUCGAGGGUUCUCGGCCGUAUGGGCUGGUUGGUGAGGUAAUGGCUUUCCAAGGCGACGAUGCGUAGCCGACGUGAGGGGGGGGUCGGCCACCCUGGAACUGGGCCGCCGUCCUGACUACUACGGGAGGCCGCAGUAUCGAAUCGUCCGCAAUGGGCGAAAGCCUGACGCAGUAACGCGGCGUGAGAUAUGGAGGUCUUCGGUUCGUAAAACUCUCUUAUUAGUUAAGAACAAAUGUGUAAUUAACCAUGGACUGCUUGACGGUACUUAAUCAGAAAGCCCCGGCUAACUACGUG